GCGGAAUAGCGUCAGUUUGGUAGAGUCACGACCUUGCCUAAGGGUCGGGUCGCGUAGUUCGAGUCUCGUUUUCCCGCUCCA
rnacentral:tRNA from 1 species